UGCAAGUCGAACGAAGUAGCAAUACUUAGUGGCAGACGGGUGAGUAACAUGUGGGUAUCUGCCCUUUGGCCUGGAAUAACACGAGGAAACUUGUGCUAAUACCGGAUAAGUCUUUACGGAGAAAGCUUUAUGCACCAUUGGAUGAGCCUGCACUUGAUUAGUUUGUUGGUGGGGUAAUGGCCUACCAAGACUGUGAUCAAUAGCUGAUUUGAGAGGAUGAUCAGCCACAUUGGGACUGAGACACGGCCCAAACUCCUACGGGAGGCAGCAGUGGGGAAUCUUGCACAAUGGAGGAAGCUCUGAUGCAGCGAUGCCGCGUGAGUGAAGAAGGCCUUUGGGUUGUAAAGCUCUUUCGUCGGGGAAGAAAAUGACUGUACCCGAAUAAGAAGGUCCGGCUAACUUCAUGCCAGCAGCCGCGGUAAUACGAAGGGACCUAGCGUAGUUCGGAAUUACUGGGCUUAAAGAGUUCGUAGGUGGUUGAAAUAGUUGGUGGUGAAAUCCCAGAGCUUAACUCUGGAACUGCCAUCAAAACUUUUCAGCUAGAGUAUGAUAGAGGAAAGCAGAAUUUCUAGUGUAGAGGUGAAAUUCGUAGAUAUUAGAAAGAAUACCAAUUGCGAAGGCAGCUUUCUGGAUCAUUACUGACACUGAGGAACGAAAGCAUGGGUAGCGAAGAGGAUUAGAUACCCUCGUAGUCCAUGCCGUAAACGAUGUGUGUUAGACGUUGGAAAUUUAUUUUCAGUGUCGCAGGGAAACCGAUAAACACACCGCCUGGGGAGUACGACCGCAGAUUAAAACUCAAAGGAAUUGACGGGGCCCGCAC
rnacentral:rRNA from 1 species